UACGAAGGGAGCUAGCGUUGUUCGGAAUCACUGGGCGUAAAGCGCACGUAGGCGGAUGUGUCAGUCAGGGGUGAAAUCCCGGAGCUCAACUUCGGAACUGCCCCUUGAUACAGCACGUCUUGAGUCCGGAAGAGGUGGGUGGAAUUCCUAGUGUAGAGGUGAAAUUCGUAGAUAUUAGGAAGAACACCUGUGGCGAAGGCGGCCCCCUGGGCCGGCCCUGACACUGAGACGCGAAGGCGUGGGGAGCGAACGGG
rnacentral:rRNA from 1 species